rnacentral:lncRNA from 1 species
CUUCUCAUCCUUUUGCUCUAUAAUUGCUCUACAUACCUAAUCAUCCUCUCCUCUCCUGAAUCUGCUUCCUCAUCAUCUGUCUGAAACAUCUCCAGGGCAGAAUGCACCACAGCCCAAGGAGAACACACCACAGCCCAAGGAGAAGAGAACGCACCACAGCCCAAGGAGAAGAGAACGCACCACAGCCCAAGGAGAAGAGAACGCACCACAGCCCAAGGAGAACGCACCACAGCCCAAGAAGAAGAGAACGCACCACAGACCAAGGAGAAGAGAACGCACCACAGCCCAAGGAGAAGAGAACGCACCACAGCCCAAGGAGAAGAGAACGCACCACAGCCCAAGGAGAAGAGAACGCACCACAGCCCAAGGAGAAGAGAACGCACCACAGCCCAAGGAGAAGAGAACGCACCACAGCCCAAGGAGAAGAGAACGCACCACAGCCCAAGGAGAAGAGAACGCACCACAGCCCAAGGAGAACGCACCACAGCCCAAACAGACCACACCAAAACUUACCUGUUUGCAACACUGAAUGCUGA